rnacentral:miRNA from 1 species
UGUAGCACGCUUGAUGGCAUUAUCAGUCGUGUGGCAAGGUUGUUUAUGAUAUGAGAAUGUUGUUACAACCUUGUGUCAUCAACCUUGUAACAUUGUCGUUAUAUCAUGACUGUAUCAGACUUGUUAGAACAACCUCGUAACAAGUCUGAUAAUGCCAUCAAGCUUGUUACA